GGACGAUACUCUGGAGAGACCCGUUGAAUCGGGCGCCGAAGGAGCAAGGCACCGUGAUUGCAUCGCAAUCUGGCGCCGGAAACUCUCAGGCAAAAGGACAGAGGGGAUGGG
rfam:Aeromonas hydrophila subsp. hydrophila ATCC 7966, complete genome.